AGCAGUAAGUCUCAGAAGCUGAAAGCGUUCUAGGCCUAGAUUAGAUGAUAUAGAGGCUAGAAGCAGACGGAGGUGGGAAGCCUCUGAAAUGAGAAUUGAAACAGGAGAAUAAAAGAUACUUUUCCACACUGAAUACAAUCCCACUGUGCAACGUAUCACAUGUCUACAAGCCAUUCCUCGGUUGAUGGACAUCUGGGCUGAUUUCGAUUCCUAGCCGCUGGGAACAGAGCAUCACUCACCAUGGAUGGACAAAUGAUAGAGAGAGUUUUCAUCUACUCACCAGUUGAUGAUUUUCAAAGAGCAACACGGAGAAUGCCUGGGCCCUUCCUACAGGGCGACACAAGACUUAAAUAGAAUAGUCAUUGCAUCUGACUGCUAUAAUAAAAUUCCACAGACUGUGUGGCAAGAGCAUAGAAAUUUAUGUUCUCUCAGUUUUACAAGCUAGACAUCUGUGGUCAAGGGAGGGUCCUAGGAGAGAAGAAAAGACACUUGAAGCCACUGAGGGUGACAGAUGGAGAUGUUCUACACAGCAGAGAUGCUGCUUGUAAAGCUUCUGUUGCCCUGAGAAAGGCCAUAACUAAGGUGUUUGGAGAAAUGGCUUGGCGGUUGAGAGCACUGGCUGUUCUUCCAGAUGAUCUGGGUCCAAUACCCUGCAUCCACAUUGAGACUCACCACCAUCCUUAACUCUAGUCCCAGACGCUCCACCUCCUCUUCUGCCUGUCAUGGGCACCAGGCAAGCAUAUGAUGCAUGACAAGUCAUAAAUAAACAUAUUUGUUUAAAAGACCAAAAUCAACUUGGGGAAGAGAGAGUUUACUUGGCUUGCAGAUCACAGUCCAUCACUGAUGGAAGCCAAGGAAGAACCUCAGGCAGGGCAGGAACCUGGAGGGAGGAACUGCAUCAAAGACCUCGGAGAUGUAGAUCAUCACCUCCUUAAAACAAGACAACUCCAAAACCCCCGGGACCACUUUCACAGAUGAUGCCGAGACACUUAGCUGCACUACUCUCCUGAUGGGGACCCUCUGCUCCCCUUGAGCGUCUAUAUACUUUCUCCCAAUCAAUAAAGCAAACUCAAUG